rnacentral:rRNA from 1 species
UACGUAGGUGGCAAGCGUUGUCCGGAUUUACUGGGCGUAAAGGAUGCGUAGGCGGACAUUUUAAGUCAGAUGUGAAAUACCCGAGCUUAACUUGGGUGCUGCAUUUUGAAACUGGGUGUCUAGAGUGCAGGAGAGGUAAGUGGAAUUCCUAGUGUAGCGGUGAAAUGCGUAGAGAUUAGGAAGAACACCAGUGGCGAAAGGCGACUUACUGGACUGUAACUGACGCUGAGGCAUAAAAGCGUGGGGGAGCAAACAGG